rnacentral:tRNA from 1 species
AAAAACCUGUAGAACUCUGAUCUACAUCUUCUGACUGCAAUCCAGACACUUUUAUUAAGCUAAGGCCUU